UGAUCAAUUGUUAGAAGUCCAAGUUAACCACUGUAUUAUGUCACUAACCAGUAAACUGGUCUAAACAAUCAUGCCAUUUGUUCAACAUCUGAAACUAUGUCUUAUAAAGAUAAUCAGAGAAAAUUCCUACUAUUCCUUUGGACACAAAAAAAAAAUGCAGCUGACUAUAAGAAUUAAAGGCACAAUGGACUAUUCAGGAAAUUAUACCACAAGUAAUUCUAGGUAAAUUUUUUGGAAACCUGAUUUGUCAGUUCAUCUUAACUGAAAGGAUUCUGAUUGUGGUGUAGAGGCCACUGUUUUUUAUUCAUGUGGUCACACUGCAUCUGGAAUUGAAACUUUGUCAGAUUUCUUGUACUUCUUCCCUUGCUUUGAUUUCCUUCACGUAUUAGCUAUGUGAUGAUUGAAUUCAAGUUAUGGUUUAUGACUGAGUGGAUUUCUGUAUGAAAUUCAGUAUAUUUGAUGUUUAGUAUGCUAUAGUUCGUCUGCAUUUACUUACUUUCUGUCUACCUGUUAUCUAGGGUGAAGAACAACAAACAGUUGAUGGCCUGUUACAUUCACUGGGAUUGGGGAAAUAUGCUAUUCUUUUUAAGGCCGAGGAAGUGGAUAUGACUGCCUUGAAGCAGAUGGGGGAGAAUGACCUUAAAGAGCUGGGAAUACCUAUGGGACCUAGGAAAAAGAUUCUCCUCGCCCUGUUGCCUCCUUCAAAGAGACAACGGUGAUGCCAAAGCCGAGAUCCACAGUGGAAAUUUGUUUCCGAAAGAUUCUUCUAGCCAAAACUAACACCUGUAUUUCCUUAAUGUCAAGUUAUAAGUUGCACAUGAAUCAGUUAAUUACAUUUUUGUCUUGAAGAGUAACUUAUGGUGCUUUAAUAGAUGGCGAUGAGAAAUUUUGAGGUCUCCAUCUCUUCUCUCUGUCCAACGGCGAGGAGAAAUUCAUAUACUUGUGGUGGCAGAAUUUCUUGUUCACAUGGAAUGGAAUGUUUGAAAAACUAUGUAUUGUCGCAUGAUUUCAAUACGAGGACCUUGAACAAAUUUCUAGUUGUUUAAA